ACCUCAGUAACAGAUUUUUCUGCAAAAAUAUAUAUAAACCGAUCCUGACCAAGGCUGAAAAUUGAGUAGAAAUCAACUUAUUCUGAUAUACGUUCGUGCAACAAUUCUAAGAGCUCGAGCUUACCCUUCAAUAUCACUGUAAUAAAUACAGCAUUCCUUUAGAUAUCCAAUGUUUGCUGUUUAAAACUUGCAACUGAACGGCUGCUAUUGAUACAGCUCCCACUACCAGCAAGUCAAGUGCCAUAUUGUUCAAUGCCACUAGCAAAAGACUAAAAGAUUGGAAGAAGUAAAAUGGAUAAUGGAAAUAACCAUCGUUGAAAUGUGGAAACUCCAUGGGAAGCGAACCGGUUUCAAACGCUGGAAAUAUCGCAGAUAUUCAAAGUUCGCUGCAAGUAUAAUAAUAUCGAAUACUUUACCAGGGAAUAAGUUGCGAAAUAGCAGACUGCCAAAAACAACUGUAAAAUAGCCAAAGUCCACAACUCGGACAAUUUGCAGAAAGUUGGAAAUAAUCGACUGGUACAUCACUUUAUUCCGCGUGAAAGUAGAAGUCUCCAACAUGCCCACAAGUGCCCAUAACGUUUUUUGAUUAACAGAUAGCAUUAUAGCUUUCAAGAGAACAUUUAUCACCGACAUGCAUAUGAACAGACUUUCUGAUAAUGCCACAAAAUUGUCAAUAUGAAAAGAAGCAUUAUACACAAGAGUUAAGAGUAGCAAAACGCUAAUAGUUAAUGACGCAAAACCACGAGUUUUGUAUGACCAAGAUGAGUCUUUUUGAGGAUAUGAAGCGGUCAGUAACAGAACUUUGCGCGGAAAUGCUAUAAAUCCCACUAAAGCCAUUAUGGGACAACUGCAAGAUAAUCGAAAGAAUAUUAGGGCAAAGCUGUAGCUUUAUAUUCCUAGAGAAAAUUAAAUAUUAAUAGCUCUUAGCAGGUUUCAACAGUAAUAAGUGUCUCUAUCUAAUAGGUCCAGAUAAUUAGGGAUGGUUCGGCAAUUAAACUAUACCAGUUAGAAACAUAACUGGAAAUUAGAUGAAAUUCAAAAUCCACCUAUUAGCGUUAUUGAUGUUGGUUCAAUUUUGUACGAGGCCUUAAUUAUAGUCCAAAACUAAUUAAACCUAAAUAUGUGUAUACACUUUUGUCAUAAAAACACGUUUCUUGGACUAUAAUCAGUUAUUAUUUUUUUAGUUCAGCAACCAUGAAACGUUUAUGAGACAUUUGUAAGUCUGCAGUGCUUGCAAUGCUUUAGUUAUGCACAUUAUUAAACAUAAAUGUUUAGAAUCAUGUUCAUCUGUCAGUUUAGCGCUCUGUAUGGAAUAUCCUUUAAAUGUUUCUCGAAUAAGUCAUACAUCACUUAUUAAAAGGUGUUUCGUAGUCAUGAAAGCGAUUAGCUGCAAAUUGUAUUAUUUCUUAGGUGUAAAACUAUAAUUUGCAUAAAACAUAUCGCUAAGUAAAUUAGAUGUAUGUUAUAAUCAAUUCAACGCAGACAAUUUUGCUUUCUCCUAUAAAAAACUAAUAUAAUCAUAAUUCAUCAUACA
rnacentral:lncRNA from 1 species